rnacentral:tRNA from 1 species
GCGGUCGUGGUCUAGUGGUAUGACAAUGGCUUCCCAAGCCAUUUGUCCGGGUUCGAUUCCCGGCGGCCGCA